UACGGAGGGUGCAAGCGUUGCUCGGAAUUAUUGGGCGUAAAGGGUAGGUAGGUGGUCUCAUUUGUCUGGGGUGAAAGCCUUGAGCUUAACUCAAGAAGUGCCCCAGAAACGGUGAGACUCGAGUCCUGGAGAGGGUCGUGGAAUUCCCGGUGUAGCGGUGAAAUGCGCAGAUAUCGGGAGGAACACCAGUGGCGAAGGCGGCACUCUGGGCCGGAACUGACGCUGAGGAGCGAAAGCGUGGGGAGCGAACAGG
rnacentral:rRNA from 1 species